rnacentral:rRNA from 1 species
UUGACCUCGGAUCAGGUAGGAAUACCCGCUGAACUUAAGCAUAUCAAUAAGGCGGAGGAAUGG